CGCGAGCCCGGCCACUUGCCGGCCCUCCUCCUACUCCCAGAUGUUCAAGUCGGCGUGCCCCAAGUCCUACAGCUACGCCUUUGAUGACCCCACCAGCACCUUCACCUGCUCCGGCGCCGACUAUACCAUCACCUUCUGCCCGGAAUCGCUGCCGNNNNNNNNNNNNNNNNNNNNUGGAUCCCUUGCCUCCAUCUCCAAUUCCCUUUGUAGCACUCUCUCUUUUCCUCCUAUUUCUCCUUUCUAGUGGUAAUAGUUCUUGCUCCAACCCCUUUAACCUAAUUAUCCUAAACUUCUUCUUUUUUCUAUUUAGAGACUGGAUCUGGAAAAUUCUUUGAUGUUUGUGCUUACAGGGCUAUUGGUGGUGGGCGGCACCACAUUCACAUUCGCGAACAAGUGCGGCUACACGGUGUGGCCGGGGAUCCUGUCGAGCUCCGGCAGCUCGGAGCUCGAGACGACCGGGUUCGAGCUGGCCGCCGGCGGUUCCCGGUCGUUCCAGGCGCCGACCGGGUGGUCCGGCCGGUUCUGGGCCCGGACGGGGUGCACGUUCGACGGCGACGGCAAGGGGUCCUGCGCCACCGGAGACUGCGGGACCGGGGAGGUGGAGUGCAAGGGCGGGGGGGCGGCGCCGCCAGCGACGCUGGCGGAGUUCACCCUAGCGAGGCCGGCGUCGGCCAAGGACUUCUACGACGUGAGCCUGGUGGACGGGUACAACCUGCCGAUGGUGGUGGAGAGCCGCGGCGGCGCCGGCGGGUGCGCGCCGGCGGGAUGCGCGGCGGAUCUUAACCGGCGGUGCCCGGUGGAGCUGAGGAUCGGGGAGGGGGAGGGGGAGGCGUGCCGGAGCGCGUGCGGGGCGUUCGGGAAGCCGGAGUUCUGCUGCAGCGGCGCGUACGCGAGCCCGGCCACUUGCCGGCCCUCCUCCUACUCCCAGAUGUUCAAGUCGGCGUGCCCCAAGUCCUACAGCUACGCCUUUGAUGACCCCACCAGCACCUUCACCUGCUCCGGCGCCGACUAUACCAUCACCUUCUGCCCGGAAUCGCUGCCGAGGUAUGCAUCAACACUAAAAAAAAUGAAUGAAAAAUCUCGAUCAAAAACCAUAUAAUGUUCGUUUUGCUUGCAUUAUUGCAGUUACAAUUAAAAUUUUGUGAGUCUCAUUCUCACAAUUAAAUCGUUCUUGCUCAUGAGAACCUGGAUUGCUUUUUCUUUUUCUUUUCUCUUAUUUUGUUUUUGGGUAUUUGGUUGCCUUCUUUGUUCAUCUUUGUUCGUAAAUUUGGUAUUUAGUAUGACAAGUGCUCAAGUAGAAUAUAUGCUUGCAAACGGUGGGUUCCUCUGCAUAAUUUUUAUUUUUCUUUUGAUUUUUUUUUUGUUUGCUCUCAAUUGCUUUUUCUUUUUCACUGAGCUAAAGAUGAUAAACAAGAGGAAAAUAACAAAGUAAAAAAGAAAAGAAAAGAAAUAAUGUAGUGAAUAGCGAUGAUGAUCUUUCCACUUUGUUCCUCUUGUUUUUUUUUUUCACUUUGUUCUUUUCCCACAUACCGGUUUAGAAGGUUUUAUGACAUGGUUGGGUUCAGCUUCAGCCAAGUAACUUGGAAGAUGUGUAUAAAGUUUGGUCGUUUUUAUGUCUCAACCCAGCUUUUAGUCUUUUUUAUAGAACUUCCUGUUAGGUAGUUGAUUUCGUUAAUCAGCCAAAUAAACUGGAAAAGUGGCUUUUUAAACAUCAGUACCUUCUUUCCCUUUGCUCCACUAAUAAAAGGUCUUGUAUGGGGGUGAAGUUUAGCUGCUAUCUAGGUAGCACUAUCUAGUUCAUUAUGAUGCUAUUUGCUCGGUAUGUGUAGCACUCAGAUGACCUUGAUGAGUGAGACGUAUUUCCUAAACGAUAAGCCGACAAUUAUUAAUUAAUUGUCUAAAUUUUAGUAGAUGUUUCAACAAUCCUGAC
rnacentral:lncRNA from 1 species